CCUACGGGAGGCAGCAGUGGGGAAUUUUGGACAAUGGGCGCAAGCCUGAUCCAGCAAUGCCGCGUGAGUGAAGAAGGCCUUCGGGUUGUAAAGCUCUUUUGUCAGGGAAGAAAAGGGAUUGGCUAAUAUCUGGUCCUCAUGACGGUACCUGAAGAAUAAGCACCGGCUAACUACGUGCCAGCAGCCGCGGUAAUACGUAGGGUGCAAGCGUUAAUCGGAAUUACUGGGCGUAAAGCGUGCGCAGGCGGUUUUGUAAGACUGUCGUGAAAUCCCCGGGCUUAACCUGGGAAUGGCGAUGGUGACUGCAAGGCUAGAGUUUGGCAGAGGGGGGUAGAAUUCCACGUGUAGCAGUGAAAUGCGUAGAUAUGUGGAGGAACACCGAUGGCGAAGGCAGCCCCCUGGGUCAAAACUGACGCUCAUGCACGAAAGCGUGGGGAGCAAACAGGAUUAGAUACCCUGGUAGUCCACGCCCUAAACGAUGUCUACUAGUUGUCGGGUCUUAAUUGACUUGGUAACGCAGCUAACGCGUGAAGUAGACCGCCUGGGGAGUACGGUCGCAAGAUUAAAACUCAAAAUGAAAUUGACGG
rnacentral:rRNA from 1 species